AUCGAACGCUGGCGGCAGGCCUAACACAUGCAAGUCGAGCGGAGCGGCGGACGGGUGAGUAAUGCCUAGGAAUCUGCCUGGUAGUGGGGGAUAACGUCCGGAAACGGGCGCCAAUACCGCAUACUUUCAGUUGAGCCUAGGUCGGAUUCGCUAGUUGGUGGGGUAAAGGCCUACCAAGGCGACGAUCCCUAGCGGGUCCGAGAGGAUGACCAGCCACACUGGAACUGAGACACGGUCCAGACUCCUACGGGAGGCAGCAGUGGGGAAUAUUGCACAAGGGGCGCAAGCCGGAUGCAGCCAUGCCGCGUGUAUGAAGAAGGCCUUCGGGUUGUAAAGUACUUUCAGCGGGGAGGCGUUACCCGCAGAAGAAGCACCGGCUAACUCCGUGCCAGCAGCCGCGGUAAUAC
rnacentral:rRNA from 1 species